GGUCCUUGAGUUUUUUUCAUUACGUAACUCUACUUUACAUCGAACUUUUGAUCUUUUUCGGGUCCAAUUUCAGGCCCGAUUUUCGGCCCGAUAUCUGGCCCGUUACUGUAAUCAAUCAGAGAGCUGCCACCUCUCUUUUAAGUUAGAACAUGGGUGUUGAAUUGUGAUUGGUUUUUAAUGGAGGUGGGAGCCCCUUUGAUCAUUUAAAAGGACCAUCGAAUUUCUUUCGAGAGAGGGGGGGGGAAGAAAAAGAGGGGACUACCGACUACAACGAGAAACACCAACCCCAAUCCCAUCACAAGCAAUCUACAGCCCAUUACCACUACGCCCCAAUCAUAUUACACAACCCCAUUACAAACGAAAAUUGGCCAAAAUAAACAGAAAAUACAAAGCUCUUCUAGCCGAAAUUUUGGGGAUUCGAAGCUUCCGAAUUCCCAAGUUCCCGGAGCCAGCAACCAAGGGCCAUCCAUGCUGCGAAAGAAGAACAAAAUCAGCUUUUAAAGGUUGGUCCUCCCAAACAAAACAUCUUCCCAAUUUUCAAAUCAUAUCUAUGUUUCCAUUGCUCAUGUCCUAAACCCUUUUCUAAUCUAAUAAUCAUCAAUACUAAAUAAUCCGAAGAACUCACAGAAACAGUAAUAUAAAAAAGUAAAGACUGUUUUCACCAAAUGAAAGCUUACUAGAAAAUAUGAUUAAAAGGAUUCAAAUGGGCGAUUUCGAGUCAUUUUAACACCAUCAACAUCAAAAUUCAAAUACCGUACAAAGACUUAACAUGUGGCACUACAAUCAAGCAAAAUAUGGGCAUUUUCUCCAAAUAACUAUUGCUGGAAUUUUAUUAAAACUAACAAAGUGAUCAAAUUUUUCAAGCAAAUAAGCCAUCUUAUGGUGUUUAAAGUACUGAGUUCAGUUCCAUAACAGGACAGUCAAAUUUUCACCUUUCAAUCUACAUAUUUUAAUCUUAAUGACAAAACUGUUUCUACCAAACAAAAUUAGAAUAUUUAGAAUUAAGAGUUUUACCUUUCCUAAGAGCGUCUUCCCUCUUCUUCAUUUUUCCGAUCGAUUUCCCCUGGUAGGUUGAAACUGAGUUUUCUUUCUUCAUUCACCUGAAAUACACUUAGAAAAUCAGACUCUUUCUCUUCUGUCUUCGAAAUAAAUUAAACUACAAAAGAAAAAAGACAAAACAAUACUUAACCUUCUUCUCUUUGUCAGUUUCUUCGUGUCCCCUUCUCCUUUUCUUUACCGAAUCCUCAACUCCAUUGAAAAUAGUAAAGAGAACAAAAUAAGAGAAAGAACACAAACUCAAACCCUAAAUCUACAGAUCGGGGCUUGCAAACGACAUGCAAGCCCGGAUCGAACUAAAAAUAGAAAAAAAACACGAAUAGAAAGGGGGCUUUUUACCUUUUCUUCCUUCUGUUUUCCUUCCUUUGUCGUUGUGGGAGAAGAGAGGAGAUGGAGGCGGCGCGGCCGCCGCCGCUGAGAGAGAAGGAGAAGAGGAAGGAACAGGAGGCGAAAGAGAGGCAGGAAGAAGAAGAGGACAAAA
rnacentral:lncRNA from 1 species